AAAGUUGUUCAAUUCUCUGACUCUCAACUUGUUUCCAAAGUUUGAACUGCACAGGCCUGCUUAUGCUCAGAUUUUCUUCCACCUCUGCCACCCCUGAGAAAGCAAGACCAAUCCCUCCUCCUCCUCAGCCUACUCAACAUGAAGAAAAUGAGGAUGAAGACCUUUAUGAUGAUCUGCUUCCACUUAAUGGAUAGUUAAUAUAUUUUCUCUUCCUUAGGAUUUUCUUAGAAACAUUUUCUUUUCUCUAGCUGACCUUAUUGUAAGAAUACUCUGUGUGUGUGUGUGUCUGUGUGCGUGUGCGUACCGUACAAAAUAUGUGCUAACCAAUCAACCGUUUAUGUUAUCAGUAAGGCUUCCAGUCAACAGCAGGCUAUUAGUAGUUAUAUUUUCGGAGAGCCAAAAGUUAUACAGAGAUUUCUGACUGUGCAAGGGGUGGGGGAGGUUCAGUGCCCCUAACCUUCAUGGUAUUCAAGUGUCAACUGUAGUUAGUCCCAGAUAUGUGUCUGAAAGUCACUGGAGCCUUCCAGUAGUGAGUUUCCAAGCCAUGGAAGUGUGCAGCCGAGGACAGACAGCCACGCAUCAGGGGUGCUGGCCAGAGGGCCUCGAAGAUUCUUCCUAACCCUCCAGGCUUUGACACUGACUGCUGGAUAAAGAUGGCAGAUUGAAUACCUGCAUCUAAUUCUGACCUCUCCUGAAGUCCUACCAAAUCACAGUAAAGAGAGAACAGGAGGGAACAGGAGAGCGAACAAGGAGGUUCUGGAAGUUGGAAAACUGAUGAAAAACAAAUCUGGCAGUGCAGAAAGCUGAGCUUAACGUGAUUUCCAUCACAGCACGCGUAAACAGCUCAAGAAGGCACUUCUGGAAGUGAAGGUAAAGCAAUUGGCUCUGCAGUUUCCCCAACCC
rnacentral:lncRNA from 1 species